AAAAGAAAGGGGAAAAGUGAGUUAGUGGUGACACAAUUUCAAAUGAAAUUUAUGGUGACAUUUGGGGGAAACCACUUCCAGAACGAUCUAUAAAUAUAUUGUUUAUGACUAAAUAGGGAAGUGAGACAACAAAUGAUUUGUUUGGCUUAGUGGGGCUGGCGUUUCAAUUUGGGAUUAAAAUGUUGCGGGUGGGUGGCCCACAAAUCCACGAAUUGACAGCUCUCAAGUAGAAGUUUUCCACACACGAACAUGGGAAGUCUUCAACUCAAGUGGAGCCCGAAUGAAUCUAGUCGGGGACAGGGGUGGUUUGUUAUGCUAAUUGAAAAGCGAACGAGAAAAGCUUUUCCACUUAACUGGGAAAUUUAUGCAUCAACAGCGAGUGGAGGGGUCGGGGCAAAGAAAACUUUUCACCCAAUUUUCUGCCUCGUGACAUUCGCGUGGGUGUGGGCGGUUGUGGGCGGAGUGCAGUGAAGUGGAGUGGGAGAAUAGUGUGGAAGGUGCUGACGGAAAGGGGGAGGAAAAUCGGGGACUUGGGCACGCGACGAAUUCGGUCGAUUGGCCUGCGGUUUUUCAUAUCUCUACCCGCUCUCUGUUUCACUCACAUUUCUCUGCCGCCGAUGGCCUGAUUUCUGUGGAAUGCAUUUCCCAGUCGAUAGAAAGUUCCUACACAUAUUGCGACUGGCGGAAGAAAUCGAUAACAAACAACAAACUUUGCCCCACAUUGCCCAGACGAAAUCGAUAAGAUAAAGAGUUUGUUUGGAGUUGGAAGCUUACUUUCAUUGUUUGGCCAGCGCUUUAUUAUCUGGAGGCAUAAAUCAUCAUAUGCUGCGAUAUCAGGGUCACAAAAGUCAGCCAUAUAUGGAAUAUUAGUUCGAGAAUGGAGGGUAAUUAAUUGGAGAAAUUAGUUUAAUUUAUUUCGGCCUUUAGUGGUAUUUUCUUUUUCUCAGCCGAGUUCAAAUAGCCAAUCUGUUUACUAUACACCCCACUCCAUCUCCAUACCACAAUUUUUCCCGCCAUGAUGCGCUCCAAUGGAUUGGCAAAAUGCUAAACAUAUUACGAAUUUAUAGUUACACCAGCAGAGACAGAAAGACAGAGAAAAGGGGGAAAAACUUGGACAAGUAGAGUGAGACAUUCCCGCAUGGCUGAGACACAUGAAUGGGAAGGAGAAAAAGCGCAAGUGGAAAUAUGCAAAUUGUUUAUGUAAACAGAGGAAGCUCCAAGGCAAGGCCGAAAGUAGGAAAUGCCCGGAAAAUGAACGGGUGGCAUCGACAUAGACAUCGGUCAUGCAUGAGUGGGUGGCCAGCGAGGUCUUUGACCCAGCGAUCCGCAGACUAAAAGGGUAUUUCCAGGGUGAAACCAUGUCCAACUCACAGCAGGAUAACGACCGAAGGAUGAUACCAACUGCACUGCAGAUCAAAGGUUAACAGCAACUAAUAACUUGAAGCUGCGCAAAUUGUCAGCAGCAAAUUUGAAUGCCAUUUCAUGGCCUGUCAAUCAAUUUGGGAGAAAUCGAGGGAAACAAGCAGUGAAGCCCAUGAUUUUUUUGGCAGCUAGGGAAAAUGCUUUUCUUUUUUUUUGACAGAGUUUCCCCAUUCUGUGUGAGCAUUUUCGUUUGUGCGACUCCGUUUUCGCCACCUCGGUUGAAAGGUUAACAUAAUAUUUUUUGAUUGCAUUUCAAUUUCUGCACAUUGGCCAUAAAUCUUGCGCAAGUGGUAAAAAUUAAAAGUCAUAAAUUACGGUAGAAGACAAACCGCAAUUCCCAUUCCGAUACCCAGUCCCCCGGCUCCGCCAAUUUCAACUGCUGCGACUGUGCAAUUGCAAUUGCAACUGCAAUUGCCAUUGCAACUUUCAAUGCAGCGGCGUCGCCGGGGCAAUAAAAUUCAAUUUUUUGGCCACUUUAAUUACGCCGAUCCGUAAAUAGAGUCAAAGUUUACCAAAAAGAGCUGACAGCGGAUGACAACCGACCAGUUGGCCCAGUGGGUGGCAAACGACUUUUUAAUUGAAAUUACAUGGCAGCGAGCGAUUCCCUGCAGGAAUUUUUAAAGCAGCCGCGCAGAAGGAUGGAAUCUCAUUUGGCAACGAAGUGAAUUGAAUUAAAAGCAUAAGCGUUAUUUGAAAUUAUAAAGCCAAUCAAUUGAUUUGGAAUAUAAAGUAAUAUCCCUCUAUAUAAUUUAGUAUUUUUGAAACCUAGAAAAAUGUGGAGAAUGGAGUUCGCAGAGAUCUAUAACUUGUUCUACUUCUCAUGUUCUUCCCUCUCGAAUAACAAAUGUUACACAUGUCAGCUGCUCCAAACAAGAUAAUUCAGUUUCUCCCUUUUAUGUGGGUAGAGCUUUCAGUGCUGCGUGUUUUUGGAGAUCGGCGACAUGGGCUUAAUUAUUUUUUAAAUGAUUUCCCAACAGUUCGGUGUACCUACAAUGUUGUGUGUUUUUCCAGCCCACAGACGAACUCAAGGGAAUACGAACACAUGUAAGGCAAGCUUCGAGACCCAAGACCCAGACCCCGACCAAGCCUCAAUCUAUUGUUCGGAGAGUAAUGACGCCCCCACAGAAUGGGAAAUGGUUACCCGGGUUGCGAAGGCACAAAUUAAUCUCUGCCUUUUCCGAACUCCUAGUUGCGUUUGAAGUGAUAACAGGCAUAAUAAAGUUUUCAACACUCUAUGGUGAUCGAUGGGGACUGGGAGCUGACUAUCUGCCCACAGAUGCGAGUACAACAUGCAACAUUCGAGGAUGGGAUGGCCACCGAACCAUACUAGACCAUCCCAUUCGAAAUCCAAUCGCAGCAAUUCCAUUCCAUGACGUUGUCAUUUGGGAUUGCGUGACGAUGGCGCAUUUCUCGCAAGGAAUCAAAUUGAAUCUUCGUUUUGGGUGCUUGAAUUCAAAUUGAUGAGUUUGAUGGUUUUAUAAAUGUCUGGAAAACGUUUUGGCUUUCGAAUGAGAGAAAUCUUCGCUUAAUUUAAGAGCUUUACUGUCUUACAUAACAGAAGGAGUCCUGAACUUUGAUCAACCUUUUGUCGGCAAUCCUCGGCUGCAACUACAAAUUAUGAGUAUUGUACACUUUUUUUUUGAGCAGCUCAUAAAUUAAAGUUGCGCCUGAACCGCACCCGUCCAUCAAUUUUUAUUUGCGCCUUCAACUUGAGAUGUUCAAUUUUUCGGGGCUUGUCUGCCGGAAAACUGAUAUUGUUGCGCAGAUAAUUCGAGGAUGGGACGUCGUUGUCUGUUUGGCAAUUCAAGAGCAUCGCGAUUAGACAAUAUAAAUACAAAGUAAAAGGAGAGGUUGGGACUGCAUUAUGGAGAUGAUGUGCAGGCAGGAGAAAGUCUGAAACUAGAACCAAGGUGUGCAUCUCUAGGAUUUUGGGUAGAAACAAGCGGAUGCCGCCCACAGUUUCGGAGUAGUAAAUAAAUGAAUUCCCCUUCUAAAGCCUCCACUCAAAAUGAUGAGUUGCCACCCACCUAAUGUUGGCAACUUUCCCAUACCCAUACCCGUUUUCAAAUACAUUUUUAAUUACCCGAAACUCUGGUGUCCGGUUUUAUUUAAGUUGUUGUUAAAUACUGUUUACCAAUUUUCCCAGUUUAUUAAAUUAACCGGAAAGCUCUUGAAACAAAAAAAAAAAUAAUAAUAAUUAUGGAAGACAAUGAAAAAAGAGUUUCAAUUACCAAACUACAAGACUGAGUAACAGGUGGUUAAAGCUCGACUCUCCCGUUGAGCUUGCUCAUUUGACAGGAUAGCAAUUUUCACAGCCCCCGACCCCUUUUCCCAGCCACGCCCACAUUUACAAUGGCGCGUGAAAAUUUUAUUGCGAUUGUUGUUAAGAUAAUUUUCGGUGCACCAGCAGCCCGAAUCUCAUUUCCUAGCGGCUCCGAUCUGGUCACGUUCGCGGGAUUCUGCCUGGGAAAUCGAAAAAUCCGGUAAAUGACACCCAUGGCGUUCCGCGCCGGAAGAGAUUGCUCUCGGCGAUCCUUCAUCGGUUUCCUCAUUACGGAAAAUUACCCUGGGCCCAGAAAGAUCGUUACUCGCACCAAAUCCAGUAGCUCCAACUGAACUAUAAUCUACACUUUGCCCAGAAAUUGGGUUGGAAAUUGGAUUCGGUGUGGUAAUCAUGGCAAAUGGGGGUUCCAGAGCAAAUCGUUCUUGUUAGUGGACUCCAGAAUGACGGAGUAUUGGGUGUGUUUUACACCUCUAAUUCGCGGCAAGGCCAAAUGUCAGUUUUCAUUGGCAAAGACCAGCAAUUUUUAGGGCUUCUCAUAGAGGAACGCCUUCAAGAUAGUUUGAGCUGCCAGCCAUUUCUUUCACCAAAGUUGGCUGGUCGCAGCGGCUUGCAUUCAAAUCCCAUUCCAAAAAAUUGUAGUCUGCAAUUUAAUUUUCCCACUAAAAGUCUCUUAUUAAACUUGUAGCACUAUAAAUAGUUCUCAUAAAAUUGUGCUCCUUUUUCAACCACAAAAUUUCUGGCCUUUCAGUGUUCCCAAAGAUUGUUUUCACACUCGGGCUAAAUGGAAAUGCUUUUCAACUUUACGUUUCCGCAUGCACUUUUUCGCACAAAUAUUUCAAGUGGAAAUGCGUGGUGAGAGGGCGGAGCCACAUGCCACAGAAAACCGCGCGUGAACUGUUCACUUUUUUCACUUGGCAUAGUUGAUUUCCGGGCUUUUCUUUUAUAGACCUCCCUCAAUUAUGCAAACGAAUUUGUGGAAAUUGAGGGGAAUUAAGGUGAGGCAAACUCAUCAUUUAGUUUGAGCAGUUUUUGGGCUUCCUUUAAGACAAGUACGUCUCCUCUUUGCAUAAUUAGGUAUAAGAAAAGAGGAAGCUCUAAUAGGAGGCUUAAGGAUUGAAGGUUCCUUGGUUCAGGGCUAUUUGCAUACGGUCAAAACAAAGUCUAAAUUGAUACGAGAAUUGGCUGGGGAAAUAUAGUGAAAGCCAAUUGCCAGUGUCUUCUUCAUCGGCUUUAUAGUAUAUGGUGGCUUUAAGGCGCUUUGGCGUUCGGAAAGACCUCCAGAGUGGGAGGUGUCGACAGGGGUUAACCGAAUUAAUUUCCCAUUCAGUCACCGCUUAGAGAGAUGCCCCCGAGCAGAUAAUCGAAACCCCAGAGUCCGCGAAGCGAAGAAACACUUUUGCAUGACUUUUACUUGGUCUCCAAACGCAAACAGUGGAUUUGUGUACCCUAUUUUAAGUAGAAGAUGAGUCUGAUUUUUUAGAUAAAUAAUAGAUUGGCUCAUGAACCUUAGCUUGAUCACAGUCAUAUUUCGAUAAGGUAUAUCAACCACUCUUAGUUAGUCAAUUUCAUAAUCUGAGUUUAAAUAACCUCGAUCGCAGGGUAUUUAACUUUCGAUCUCAGCCGCGUGGAAUUCCUUUGCAGUUGCGAUUUCUGGUUUGUCUUGGCUCAAUUUGGUGAUGCGGCGGGGUUAUCAAAGCCCCAACAUCUUCCAAAAAUGCAAAAGUAAUGUUAUGCUUGGGGGCGGACCCGAGGGGUAUUUUCCAGCUUUUCAGUUGCCUGGUGUUGACUUUUCUUUAAUGGCUUCCGUUGAACUUGGGGAGGUCUCCAGCCAUCCAGUCACUGCGGCAUCGGAAAAGCAAAUGCAGCCACUGCAGCAGCUCAGCACAAAGGAAAAACAGCUGGGGGAAAAACUUUGGCCGCCGGCGAAGGUCACGAACGUCAAGUGCGUUUUUCAUGCAGGCGUGGCUGGGCGGAAAAGGGGAGGCAGAGACUUUCGGGGGAUCCCCGGGGCACGUGACUUUUUUGGUCAGGUGGGUAAUUAAGCGAAAGAGCCAAACAUUUGGUCAACGCCGAAGGCGGCAAUGAACUGUUGACCGCCACUCACAAGAAAUGCAUUACGGAUAAGUUGCAUCACCUGGUGACGGAACGAAUUUCCACAGCUCUUCAGCUCUCUCGAUUGGUUUUCCAGCGUUUUCCUGCACCAACUAAAUGCUAGGAAGGGAGAAACUCCAAUUUGAGAACAACAGAAACAAUAAAAAAAAACGCAUAAAGGGAAAUUGUUUUCUGUGUUUAUGGAUGGAAAAACUAUGUAGUUAUUGUCGGUGGUGCAAAGUGCAGGCAGGUGGUUCAAGGGGGAAGGGAGCUUGGAUACGGAGCGCAAGUGAAAACCCGGUGAAUUGGAACGAAAGCAUUUCGUGAAGGAGAAACGAAGGCGGUCUGUGGUCGUACUUCUAGUUCUGGCUCUGGCCAACGGAAAAUGGGUAAUGGUAAUGGAAUGGAAAUGGUAAUUGGAGCGGGUUUCGAGCAUGAUAAUAAGUGUAGCAUGUGCUGGAGAUUGUUUUGGGCGGAUCUUAGCCGGUGAAUUGAGAGCGGAAAAUGGGGUGCUUAGUUCAAAAUUUGGUUAUUAUUAUAUGUUGUGAUCAGAGCACAAAUGAUUCCCUUCCUUGUGGAACACGUUCCAACAUCAAUCACUCUUUUGUUACCUGUCAGCACAAGUUGCCGUUUUCGGAAAGCAUUUCAUAAUUAAAAAUCUAAUCUUUAGUGGUAGUUGCUUUGGUCAAUAAAUCAAAAUGGCGAGUAGCUAACUACUGACAUUUAUCCUAAUACCACUUGUUCAGACCUCUCAGAUCUUUCUUGGCAUUAUCUUCGCUCCUCCUCGUUUUAGUUUCACCCCUGGGAAUCCCAGCUGCAUGGAUCCUCCCUAUAGUAGCAGCUGUUUCAUCCGUUUAUUCCCCCAUUAGACAAUACGAAUUUAUCUUUUGGUUGUUUUAGCUGAGACAAAUCAACGCAUUGCAACUCGAAUUACAGCAUGAAUUUCACGGCUGAGGGCGGAAGAUCUAGUGGGAACCCGCUUCAUGGAUGUCAUUACGCUGCUACGAUGCCUAUAAUCAAGGGAGUAUAAGGUAUCAAUUACAGUUCAGGCUUACUGCAAAAAACCAACGCAGCGCAGACAUACAUAUAAGAUGAACCUUCGAGCCACGGAUAUUUAUAUAAAACUUACAACCCUUGCUUCCCGGACUUGUACGAUUUGUUAUCUCUCAACAACUUCGCAUCGGCUGAAUUGCGGUGCACAUUUUUUGUGUUUUUCACCAAAAAACGAAAGUGUUUUCGAUGCCAAUUGGUGGCAAGUGCAACCUCGUAUGCGUGAUAAACCAAUUAAGUGCAGUCCAAGCUCCGAAAAAGUGAAAUUUUCGGUAUCUUUCGCUAAAGACAAGGCAGAGGUCAAAUGCUUAUGGCAUACAGCAUCAUCCGACGUGCGGGAGAUCAUAAAAGUGUUGGGACUGUUUGGACCGAUCGGGCUCUUGGAUUGGUUUUUGUUUUGGGACCAGUUUGUUUUGACAGUUGCUAUAGAGAUGUCAGUCAAAUGUUUGAGAUUCUCGAAGGUAAAUAUUUACAUAUAGAUAGGAUGUGAAAGAACUUUCUAAUGCCUAUUUUGAAUGCUUUUCAUCUUUCAAAUGCUUACUCUUUAGAAAAACCAAACUGUUUGAGCUUCAGUUCCAUUUCUCAUGUAGCACACUUUGUAGAGCAUUUUAACUUCUGUCUGGUGUCCAUUCUCUUUAAGGUUCUUUAAGUAAUAUUACUCUAUUUGCAGAUCUCAAUCAAUCAAGCACGAAUGGCGACAGCCAGGCAGACAGACAAAGCCAGGUAAACAUUAAUUGAGUCAUUAAGUGCAAACAAGGCGAGGCGUAACUGAUUAGAUAAAAUUGUAAAGCAUUUGGAAUGGUUAUUAAAAGAAUAAAUAAUGAAGCCAAGAGUGGAAAUGAUACAGAGAGGAGUUACGACUAAUCAAGAUCUGCAAGAAACUACAAGAAGCUAUAUAAAGUAACUUCAAAAACAAUUACAUAUAUCUUACUCGACAAAACACUUUUCGUAAAUCACUCAUUUCGUACAACUUCUGUGAAACCCAAUCUUUCAAUCUGCGGCUCAAUCAUCGUGCAUUCCAUUUGAUGGUCACCCUUCUAGAACCGAACUCCAUGCGGCGUAAUUCACAAUUAAUUGAAUUAUAGACCAUACUCAACUCGACUCGAAUCGACUCAACUCCAAUUCCGAGAACCGAGCGAUUAUUCUAUAAAACGAAGGCUAAGCUCCGUUCAAGUCCCUCACUUCAUUUUCGGAGUGGUUCGAGCUUUGCGUGUUUUGUCAGACGCAAUAUAACGGAAAUGUUUGUCUAUCCCCUCGCCGAUUUCCUCAACUGGCCCCCAGAAAUCGCCUCGGAUUCACCAGCAAAUGAUGUAAGCCCGACUGAAGAACGGGCCCGGCCCCAGAAGAAGGGGCUUGGCCCCGUCUCGCCUCCGUAAUGGAGUGGAAGUCACUUUAUUAUUACAACAUUUUCCAUUUCGCCUCGCUAAAAUAAUAAUUCGCGCUUCAUUUUUUACAACACACCAACCAACGAACGACACAACGAAGCGUCGACCAAUGGAGAAGCCAUUGACCCCGAGGUUCGCUCAGAAUGGAAUGGGUUGGGAUGGGAUGGGAUGGCCAGGCUAAAGCCUCAGUCCCCAUUCUCAUUGCCAAAGCCCUCCCCAAACUCCUCUUUGAUCCGGCUCUGAGCUGAACGGCAACCAGACUUACAAUUGAGGCUAAAAGAAUGGGGCUUAUCUUAGAAUCUGUAGAUUUUACUUCAAAUAUAGAAAACAACCAUGCUGAAUCUUCAAAUGUUAAAUCUUGGUAACCUGAUCUACGACCUUGAGCUCAAAAAUUGAAUGCAUAUGCCCGAUCUGUGAUUAAAUCAUACCGAUUAAGCCAA
rnacentral:sRNA from 1 species